rnacentral:rRNA from 1 species
AGAACGAACGCUGGCGGCAUGCCUAACACAUGCAAGUCGAACGAGACCUUCGGGUCUAGUGGCGCACGGGUGCGUAACGCGUGGGAAUCUGCCCUUGGGUUCGGGAUAACAGUUGGAAACGACUGCUAAUACCGGAUGAUGACUUCGGUCCAAAGAUUUAUCGCCCAGGGAUGAGCCCGCGUAGGAUUAGCUAGUU